GAUGAACGCUGGCGGCGUGCCUAAUACAUGCAAGUCGAGCGAACAGACGAGGAGCUUGCUCCUCUGACGUUAGCGGCGGACGGGUGAGUAACACGUGGAUAACCUACCUAUAAGACUGGGAUAACUUCGGGAAACCGGAGCUAAUACCGGAUAAUAUAUUGAACCGCAUGGUUCAAUAGUGAAAGACGGUUUUGCUGUCACUUAUAGAUGGAUCCGCGCCGCAUUAGCUAGUUGGUAAGGUAACGGCUUACCAAGGCAACGAUGCGUAGCCGACCUGAGAGGGUGAUCGGCCACACUGGAACUGAGACACGGUCCAGACCCCUACGGGAGGCAGCAGUAGGGAAUCUUCCGCAAUGGGCGAAAGCCUGACGGAGCAACGCCGCGUGAGUGAUGAAGGUCUUCGGAUCGUAAAACUCUGUUAUUAGGGAAGAACAAAUGUGUAAGUAACUAUGCACGUCUUGACGGUACCUAAUCAGAAAGCCACGACUAACUACGUG
rnacentral:rRNA from 1 species